UACAGAGGGUGCUAGCGUUGUUCGGCAUCAUUGGGCGUAAAGGGCGUGUAGGCGGUUUGUUAAGUCAUGUGUGAAAUCCCUCGGCUCAACCGGGGAACGACGCAUGAAACUGGCAAGCUAGAGUACCAAAGAGGGGGGUGGAAUUCCCGGUGUAGCGGUGAAAUGCGUAGAUAUCGUAAGGAAGACCAGUGGCGAAGGCGGGUCUCUGGACAGUUCCUGACGCUGAGGCACGAAGGCCAGGGGAGCAAACGGG
rnacentral:rRNA from 1 species